UUAUUGUAAAUAUUCGAUAGUGAUUAGAUAAUUAUUGUGAGAAAAGAUGAUGCGAGUAUGUGUGGACUGAGAAAAGAUCUUCGGGGCGAGUUUCCUGAUGUCGGCUUACGGUGUCGCCGCUAUCAAAGAUCCUAACUCCCAAGUUUUUUCGUUUUUCUCUCUCUUCCUAAAUCUUAUUUCCUUUCUAACCUCGUUUUUUCACUAACUUGUUUUGAAUAAAAUUGAAACAGAUCUUGAAAAAUUGAAGAUAUGAGAAAGAUGCUUGAAGAUGAAGCUUGUGUGCUUUGUGAAAGUCAUAUGAAAGUCGAUUAGGCGAUGAGGAUUCCCCGAGUAAAUCUGAAAAUCUCAGAGAUACUGGAUCAUCCCAAUAUCCAGAUCUGCAACUAAGGCCGCCAAAACGCGCUUGCAGAAAUCUUGGAAGUAUUCACAGAGGAAUAUUGCCAUGCAUAAUAUUGAUACUUGGUUUAUUCUUCAUACCAGAAUCUCCUAGGUGGUUGGAAAAAAUGGGCUUGAUGGAAGAUUUUGAGGUUUCCUUGCAAGUUUUUCGUGCCUUUGAUACUAAUAUAUCUAUCGAGGUUAACGAAAUCAAGGUAUGAGUUUCUUUUUGAAAAUCUCAUGGACCCGGCUCAUCUUCCGUAUGCACACUAUGGUAUAUUGGAAACACCCAACUCCCAAAGUCAAGGCUGAUAGAGAAGGCGGAAGACCUCUUAACUUGUAUUAAAAACAUGGACAUUGAUUUUGUGGGUCAUGUCACGCUUCCUAAAUUACAAAGGAAUGUAAAAUUAUAGACUAUUUGUGGAUGUUUUUGUUGGUUAUAAUUUAUUAUGGAUUUUGUUAAUAA